UACCAGCACCCCGAGUGGUCGGGGCGUUUAUUGGGCCUAAAGCGUCCGUAGCCGGUUCUACAAGUCUUCCGUUAAAUCCAACUGCUUAACAGGUGGGCUGCGGAAGAUACUAUAGAGCUAGGAGGCGGGAGAGGCAAGCGGUACUCGAUGGGUAGGGGUAAAAUCCGUUGAUCCAUUGAAGACCACCAGUGGCGAAGGCGGCUUGCCAGAACGCGCUCGACGGUGAGGGAUGAAAGCUGGGGGAGCAAACCGG
rnacentral:rRNA from 1 species